rnacentral:rRNA from 1 species
CCUACGGGUGGCAGCAGUGAGGAAUAUUGGUCAAUGGACGAGAGUCUGAACCAGCAAAGUAGCGUGAAGGAUGACUGCCCUAUGGGUUGUAAACUUCUUUUAUAUGGGAAUAAAAUGUUCCACGUGUGGGAUUUUGUAUGUACCAUAUGAAUACGGAUCGGCUAACUCCGUGCCAGCAGCCGCGGUAAUACGGAGGAUCCGAGCGUUAUCCGGAUUUAUUGGGUUUAAAGGGAGCGUAGGUGGAUUGUUAAGUCAGUUGUGAAAGUUUGCGGCUCAACCGUAAAAUUGCAGUUGAAACUGGCAGUCUUGAGUACAGUAGAGGUGGGCGGAAUUCGUGGUGUAGCGGUGAAAUGCUUAGAUAUCACGAAGAACUCCGAUUGCGAAGGCAGUUCACUGGACUGCAACUGACACUGAGGCUCGAAAGUGUGGGUAUCAAACAGGAUUAGAUACCCUAGUAGUC